GGCGAAGGCACAUUUUCAACCUACUUCAAAAUAUCUUUGUUUUUGUGCAAACAUUGAUUGCUCAAAUGUGAAGAUGAGUGUUCUUCUCAAUAUUUUUCAGGAAGGAAAGGCUCCUGAUCACAAUACUGAUGACGAGAUGCGAGAUGCCACCCAUUUGCAAGAUGUAAAUGUGCCAGAGCUCAAAAGGAGAAGAUUGAGAGACGGAGAGUCUGAGCAUGUCGGGGAUGUUACCGAGAGGAGGAGGGAAAACAGCCCAAAGCCACAUACAAUCGUGAGCGAACGGACAUCGACUGAAAGAGAGAUAGAGAUUGUAAGUUUAUUAAAAUAUAUUCAUUCAUUUUCUGUUCGGCUCAGUCCCUUAAUUAAUCCGGCAUCACCACAGCGGAAUAAAUCAGCAACAUAUCAAGCAUCCUCGUUUUGUUUUGUUUUUUUUUUUGUUCCUGUACAAACAUUGAUUGCUCAAAUGUGAAGAUGCGUGUGCUCUUCUCAAUAAUUUUCAGAAAAGCCAGUCUUCCCGAUGUUGUUUCUGUGAAGAUGCAUGUGUUAUUCUGAAUAUUUUUCAGAAAAUACAGUAUUCCCAUGUCGUUGAUGUUACUGAAAGGAGCCACCGCAACCCAAACCCCCAUACGAAUGUGAGCGAGCACAGAGCAACUGACAGAGAGAGACUGUAAUUUUAUUAAAAUAUAUUCAUUCAUAUUUUUUCGAUUCAGUCCCUUUAUUAAUCCGGGGUUGCCACAGUGGAAUGAAACGCAAAUUAUCAAGCAUCCUCAUUUUUGUUUCUGUACAAACAAUUAUUGCUCAAAUGUGGUGAUGCGUGUGUUCUUUUCAAUAUUUUUCAGUCUUCCGAUGACAGCGAUGUGACAGUAACGUGAGAACCCACUCCAGAAAGAGACCUACGUAUUCCUGAGCUGAAUAGAACCGAAAGUGUGAUCGUAAGUUUCUUUGAAUAUUUUAGCACAUUUAAUUAAACGCACAUCUUUGGAGACUUGGUGUGAAAAAAACAAGUGUCUUAAUUUUAAAUAGUGACUUUGUAUAGCUACAGUCGACU
rnacentral:lncRNA from 1 species